AGUGAACGCUGGCGGUAGGCCUAACACAUGCAAGUCGAACGGCAGCACAGUAAGAGCUUGCUCUUACGGGUGGCGAGUGGCGGACGGGUGAGGAAUACAUCGGAAUCUACUUUUUCGUGGGGGAUAACGUAGGGAAACUUACGCUAGUACCGCAUACGACCUACGGGUGAAAGCAGGGGAUCUUCGGACCUUGCGCGAUUGAAUGAGCCGAUGUCGGAUUAGCUAGUUGGCGGGGUAAAGGCCCACCAAGGCGACGAUCCGUAGCUGGUCUGAGAGGAUGAUCAGCCACACUGGAACUGAGACACGGUCCAGACUCCUACGGGAGGCAGCAGUGGGGAAUAUUGGACAAUGGGCGCAAGCCUGAUCCAGCCAUACCGCGUGGGUGAAGAAGGCCUUCGGGUUGCAAAGCCCUUUUGUUGGGAAAGAAAAGCAGCAGGUUAAUACCCCGCUGUUCUGACGGUACCCAAAGAAUAAGCACCGGCUAACUUCGUG
rnacentral:rRNA from 1 species